rnacentral:tRNA from 1 species
GGGUGUAUAGCUCUGUGGUAGAGUGCGUGCUUAGUACACAUGAGGUCCUGGGUUCAAUCCCCAGUACCUCCA